AUUGAACGCUGGCGGCAGGCCUAACACAUGCAAGUCGAACGAGUGGCGGACGGGUUAGUAAUGUCUGUGCAACUGCCUGAUGGAGGGGGACAACUACUGGAAACGGUAGCUACUUCCGCAUAGCAUCCGAUGUGCCCCGGUGGGAUUUGCUUGUUGUUGGGGUAACGGCGCACCAAGGCGACGAUCCCUAGCUGGUCUGAGAGGAUGACCAGCCACACUGGAACUGAGACACGGUCCAGACUCCUACGGGAGGCAGCAGUGGGGAAUAUUGGACAAUGGGCGAAAGCCUGAUGCAGCCAUGCCGCGUGUAUGAAGAAGGCCUUCGGGUUGUAAAGUACUUUCAGCGGGGAGGCGUUACCCGCAGAAGAAGCACCGGCUAACUCCGUGCCAGCAGCCGCGGUAAUAC
rnacentral:rRNA from 1 species